rnacentral:rRNA from 1 species
UGCAGAGGCCUCGAGCGUUAGGCGGAAUCACUGGGCUUAAAGCGUGUGUAGGCGGACCCCUAAGUACCUUGUGAAAUCCCACGGCUCACCCGUGGAACGGCUGGGUAUACUGGGGGUCUUGAGCCACCUAGGGGCGAGUGGAACAAAUGGUGGAGCGGUGAAAUGCGUAGAUAUCGGAAGGAACACCGGUGGCGAAAGCGGCGCGCUGGACUUCUACUGACGCUGAGGCGCGAAAGCCAGGGGAGCAAACGGG